AAGCCAUUAUGUGGGCAAUGUCUUACCAGCCUCUUAAACCUCGCCCAGUUUCAUUGAGCAAUUCGUCAAUAUCCUGUUCAAAAUUGGUGAUCACCUUCCUUCUUCU